rnacentral:rRNA from 1 species
AUUGAACGCUGGCGGAAUGCUUUACACAUGCAAGUCGAACGGCAGCACGGGGGCAACCCUGGUGGCGAGUGGCGAACGGGUGAGUAAUACAUCGGAACGUGCCCGGUCGUGGGGGAUAACGUAGCGAAAGUUACGCUAAUACCGCAUACGAUCUGAGGAUGAAAGCGGGGGACCUUCGGGCCUCGCGCGAUCGGAGCGGCCGAUGUCAGAUUAGGUAGUUGGUGGGGUAAAGGCCUACCAAGCCGACGAUCUGUAGCUGGUCUGAGAGGACGACCAGCCACACUGGGACUGAGACACGGCCCAGACUCCUACGGGAGGCAGCAGUGGGGAAUUUUGGACAAUGGGCGCAAGCCUGAUCCAGCCAUUCCGCGUGCAGGACGAAGGCCUUCGGGUUGUAAACUGCUUUUGUAUGGAACGAAAAGGCUCUGGCUAAUACCUGGGGCUCAUGACGGUGCCGUAAGAAUAAGCACCGGCUAACUACGUG